AUGCCAUGUUGAGGGCAUUGAGCAAGAAAAGACUUAAAUCUCUCAUGAUAAUCCGCAUAUGACUCAUCAACUCCUUGUUGAAUACCACUAAUCUUCUUCCUGAGCAU